rnacentral:rRNA from 1 species
UACGUAGGGGGCGAGCGUUGUCCGGAAUCACUGGGCGUAAAGCGCGCGCAGGCGGCCAUCUACGUCCGGGGUGAAAGCCCAGAGCUCAACUCUGGGAUUGCCUUGGAUACGGGGUGGCUUGAGGAUCGGAGAGGCAAGGGGAAUUCCACGUGUAGCGGUGAAAUGCGUAGAGAUGUGGAGGAACACCUGUGGCGAAGGCGCCUUGCUGGCCGAUUUCUGACGCUGAGGCGCGAAAGCGUGGGGAGCAAACAGG